CCUACGUGAGGCAGCAGUGAGGAAUAUUGGUCAAUGGGCGCAGGCCUGAACCAGCCAAGUCGCGUGAGGGAAGACUGCCCUCUGGGUUGUAAACCUCUUUUCUAAGGGAAGAAUAAUGCCUACGUGUAGUCAGAUGCACGUAACUUAUGAAUAAGCAUCGGCUAACUCAGUGCCAGCAGCCGCGGUAAUACGGAGGACGCGAGCGUUAUCCGGAUUUAUUGGGUUUAAAGGGUGCGUAGGCGGUAUUUUAAGUUAGUGUGAAAACGUCGGGGCGUCACCGUGAUUGUCCAUUAAAACUGGAGUACUAGAGUACAGACGAGGUAGUCGGAAUAAGUGAAGUAGCGGUGAAAUGCUUAGAUAUAACUUAGAACCCCGAUAGCGAAGGCAGCUUACCAGACUGUUACUGACGCUGAAGCACGAGAGCGUGGGUAGCGAACAGGAUUAGAUACCCAGUAGUC
rnacentral:rRNA from 1 species